rnacentral:misc_RNA from 1 species
GUAGGUGAACCUGCGGAAGGAUCAUUACAGUGUUCCCUGCCCUCACGGGUAGAAACGCCCACCCUUGUGUAUUAUAUCUUUGUUGCUUCGGCAGGCCGCCUUCGGGCACCGGCUCCGGCUGGAUCGUGCCUGCCAAAGGAAACCCAAACUCUGAAUGUUAGUGUCGUCUGAGUACUAUCUAAUAGUUAAAACUUUCAACAACGGAUCUCUUGGUUCUG